rnacentral:rRNA from 1 species
GGAUGCGAUCAUACUAGCACUAAAGCAUCGGAUCCCAUUAGAACUCCGAAGUUA